rnacentral:rRNA from 1 species
UACGAAGGGGGCUAGCGUUGCUCGGAAUCACUGGGCGUAAAGCGCACGUAGGCGGAUUGUUAAGUCGGGGGUGAAAUCCUGGAGCUCAACUCCAGAACUGCCUUCGAUACUGGCGAUCUCGAGUUCGGGAGAGGUGAGUGGAACUGCGAGUGUAGAGGUGAAAUUCGUAGAUAUUCGCAAGAACACCAGUGGCGAAGGCGGCUCACUGGCCCGAUACUGACGCUGAGGUGCGAAAGCGUGGGGAGCGAACAGG